UGGGGGAUAUUGCACAAUGGGCGAAAGCCUGAUGCAGCGACGCCGCGUGGGGGAUGAAGGCUUUCGGGUUGUAAACCUCUUUCGCUAUCGAACAAGGCCCGCUUAGGGUGGGUUGAGGGUAGGUGGAGAAGAAGCGCCGGCUAACUACGUGCCAGCAGCCGCGGUAAUACGUAGGGCGCGAGCGUUGUCCGGAAUUAUUGGGCGUAAAGGGCUUGUAGGCGGCUUGUUGCGCCUGCUGUGAAAACGCGGGGCUUAACUUCGCGCGUGCAGUGGGUACGGGCAGGCUUGAGUGUGGUAGGGGGGACUGGAAUUCCAGGUGUAGCGGUGGAAUGCGCAGAUAUCUGGAGGAACACCGAUGGCGAAGGCAGGUCACUGGGCCAUUACUGACGCUGAGGAGCGAAAGCAUGGGUAGCGAACAGG
rnacentral:rRNA from 1 species